AACGGCCAUACCACGCUGCAUAUACCGGUUCUCGUCCGAUCACCGCAGCCAAGCAGUGUUGGGCGCGGUUAGUACCUUGAUGAGUGACCGCUAACGGCCAUAACACGCUGCACGCGCCCGAUCUCGUCUGAUCUCGGAAGCUAAGCAGGGUCGGGCCUGGUUAGUACCUCGAUGUGCGACCGCUAACGGCCAUAGCACGCUGGAGGACCGCUGUACGUCGAUGAGCGACCGCU
rnacentral:misc_RNA from 1 species